rnacentral:rRNA from 1 species
GGCUAAUACCGGAUAGGUCGAAAGAUGAAAGGUUAACUGCCUGAAGAGGAGCUCGCGUCUGAUUAGCUAGUAGGUGUGGUAAGAGCGCACCUAGGCGACGAUCAGUAGCUGGUCUGAGAGGAUGAGCGCCACACUGGGACUGAGACACGGCCCAGACUCCUACGGGAGGCAGCAGUGGGGAAUUUUCCGCAAUGGGCGAAAGCCUGACGGAGCAAGACCGCGUGGGGGAGGAAGGCCUUUGGGUUGUAAACCCCUUUGUUAGGGAAGAAAAAAAUGACGGUACCUAACGAAUCAGCCUCGGCUAACUCCGUGCCAGCAGCCGCGGUAAUACGGAGGAGGCAAGCGUUAUCCGGAAUUAUUGGGCGUAAAGCGUCCGUAGGUGCCCGGCAAGUCUGCUGUCAAAGACCACAGCUCAACUGUGGAAAGGCAGUGGAAACUGCAAGGCUAGAGUGCGGUAGGGGUAGAGGGAAUUCCCAGUGUAGCGGUGAAAUGCGUAGAGAUUGGGAAG